AGUGAACGCUGGCGGUAGGCCUAACACAUGCAAGUCGAACGGCAGCACAGUAAGAGCUUGCUCUUACGGGUGGCGAGUGGCGGACGGGUGUGGAAUACAUCGGAAUCUACUUUUUCGUGGGGGAUAACGUAGGGAAACUUACGCUAAUACCGCAUACGACCUACGGGUGAAAGCAGGGGAUCUUCGGACCUUGCGCGAUUGAAUGAGCCGAUGUCGGAUUAGCUAGUUGGCGGGGUAAAGGCCCACCAAGGCGACGAUCCGUAGCUGGUCUGAGAGGAUGAUCAGCCACACUGGAACUGAGACACGGUCCAGACUCCUACGGGAGGCAGCAGUGGGGAAUAUUGGACAAUGGGCGCAAGCCUGAUCCAGCCAUACCGCGUGGGUGAAGAAGGCCUUCGGGUCGUAAAGCCCUUUUGUUGGGAAAGAAAAGCAGCAGGUUAAUACCCCGCUGUUCUGACGGUACCCAAAGAAUAAGCACCGGCUAACUUCGUG
rnacentral:rRNA from 1 species